rnacentral:tRNA from 1 species
GGAGAUGUAGCUCAGUGGUAGAGCACUUUCCUGGCAUACAUGAGUUCCUGGGUUCCAUCCCCAGCACUACAA